GAGUUUGAUCCUGGCUCAGAAUGAACGCUGGCGGCGUGCCUUACACAUGCAAGUCGAGCGAGGCCGGGGGGCAACCCCCGAGUCGAGCGGCGAACGGGUGAGUAACGCGUGGGUGACCUGCCCUGAGGUGGGGGAUAACCCGGGGAAACUCGGGCUAAUACCGCAUGACAUCGAGAGAUCAAAGAGGGCCGCAAGGCUCUCGCCGCAGGAGGGGCCCGCGUCCGAUUAGCUAGUUGGCGAGGUAAUGGCUCACCAAGGCGACGAUCGGUAGCCGGCCUGAGAGGGUGAUCGGCCACACUGGAACUGAGACACGCCGUCCACACUCCUACGCGGAGCGCAGCACGUGGGGGAAUUCUUGGCGCCAAUGGGGCCGAAAAGCCCUGACCGCACGCAAACCGCCCGCGCUUGGACCGAAUGACACGUCCCUUUGGAUUCGUAAAACCCCCUGUCAGCCGGGGAAAAAAGCGACCCGGCCUAAUACGCGGGGGGAGUGGAUNGUACCCGCAGAGGAAGCCCCCGCUAACUCUGUGCAAGCAGGCGGCGGGUAAUACAGGANGGGGGGCAACGCGGUUAUUUCCGGAAAAUUUANUUGGGGGCCGU
rnacentral:rRNA from 1 species